rnacentral:rRNA from 1 species
AUACUGCCCAGACUAGGGACCGGGAGACGGCGGAGGGGUAUUCCCGGGGUAGCGGGUGAAAUGCCUGUAAUCCCGGGAGGACCACCAGUGGCGAGGGCGCCCGGCGAGAACGGGUCCGACGGUGAGGGACGAAGGCCUGGGGAGCGAACCGGAUUAGAUACCCGGGUAGUCCAGGCUGUAAACGAUGCGGGCUAGGUGUCGCGGUAUCCAUGAGCUAUCGCGGUGCCGGAGGGAAGCCGUUAAGCCCGCCGCCUGGGAAGUACGGCCGCAAGGCUGAAACUUAAAGGAAUUGGCGGGGGAGCACUACAACGGGUGGAGCCUGCGGUUUAAUUGGAUUCAACGCCGGGAAGCUUACCGGGGGAGACAGCAGGAUGAAGGUCGGGCUGAAGACCCUACCAGACUAGCUGAGAGGUGGUGCAUGGCCGCCGUCAGUUCGUACUGUGAAGCAUCCUGUUAAGUCAGGCAACGAGCGAGACCCGCGCCCUCAGUUGCCAACGGAUCGCUUUUGGGAUUCCGGGCCCAUUGGGGGGACUGCCGGCGCUAAACCGGAGGAAGGUGCGGGCAACGGCAGGUCCGUAUGCCCCGAAUCCCCCGGGCUACCCGCGGGCUACAAUGGCCGGGACAAUGGGUACCGACCCCGAAAGGGAGGGGUAAUCUCCUAAACCCGGUCUUACCUGGGAUCGAGGUCUCAACUCGCCCUCGUGAAGCCGGAAUCCGUAGUAAUCGCGCCUCA